rnacentral:SRP_RNA from 1 species
GCCGGGUGUGGUGGUGCGUGCCUGUAGUCCCAGCUCCUCGGGAGGCUGAGGCUGGAGGAUCGCUGGAGCCCAGGAGUUCUGGGCUGUAGUGCGCUAUGCCGAUCGGGUGUCUGCACUAAGUUCGGCAUCAAUAUGGUGACCUCCUGGGAGCGGGGGACCACCAGGUUGCUAAGGAAGGGUGAACCGGCCCAGGUCGGAAACGGAGCAGGUCAAAACUCCCAUGCUGAUUAGUAGUGGGAUCGCGCCUGUGAAUAGCCACUGCACUCCAGCCUGGGCAACAUAGCGAGACCCUGUCUCU